GUGAAUCAUCGAAUUUUUGAACGCAAAUUGCACUCCCUGGCAUUCCGGAAAGUAUGCCUGUUUGAGGGUCGGUUAAAUAAAAAUCGGUGUUAUUGCUAUUACUUGUGGAGCAUCGGGCUUGAGUCAUGUUUAGCUUUGGUUUUAAGUGAAUUAAAAUUAUGUACGAUUUCUGUAAGUAUUAAAUUUUUUUACUAACGCUCAUGAUUGCACAUGUUAGGUGCGGUCAUACAUCUGUUUUU
rnacentral:misc_RNA from 1 species